GGCCGCACAGCAUGCAAGAUCUUAGUUCCCUGACCAGGGAUCGAACCCGCACCCCCUGCACUAGAAGCACGGAGUCUUAACCACUAGACUGCCAGGGAAGUCCCUUAAACCCCAUUUUACAGAUAAGCAUGGAAACUGAAGCUUAGAGAAGAAUUUACGGACUAAUGAGUGGGGGAGACAGUCUGACUCUAAAAUCCUCACUCUUUCCUCUAUCUCACACUGCUACGCAGUCCAAAACCUGUCAGUCAUUACAGGAAGCAGGCUUUGCCAGGAGGAGGAAUAAGUAUGUUUGCAUCCGGGACACCUCCUCCUGCUAGCAAGAUCCCUGGGAACUAAAUUAUAAUCUGAAGAUGGACACAGAACGCAAGUCAAGGGGAUGGAGAUCUGGAGGCACUGCCCCCCAAGCUAUGACCACACUAACCUCGACCCAGAACAGAACUCUGCUCUCUAGCGACCUAGUGUUGACAUCUCCACAACACAGUGGACCCUCUCCUUGCAGAAUGCCGCAGCCCACAGAUACCAUUACAAAUCGAUGGGGUGGGAGCCAGAUGAGACCUGGAGCAGCCACACAGCCUUCCCGGGGUGCUGAAGGACAGACCACACUGAUUGAGUUCUCGGCUGGCUCUUUAAACGUCAGCUUGUGCGUGACCACCUCAGACCCUGGGCGCGGAAAUAAAAUGCAGAAGGGAAGGGCGUUCUAACGUGUGGGACGAGAGGAGCUAUUCACUCAGACCAGCCUGGCCGCCUGAGCACCGCUCAUCAUCACAGAGGUGUGGUGAAGAGCAAAGACAGCUCACCCUCCCUCCCACCCCCCAGAAUUCACUCAGACCCCCUCCUGUCACCAGGCCCCACUGCAUGGGCCUUUGGGCCUGCCCGGCUCAAUCAUUCACCGUUCUAGGAGCUGGGAGGACAGACACACACGUGACGGAGAAGGUCCUACCUACUCUCACGCAGCCUCAAAGGGGAGACUGAUAGGACGAGGAAGGAAAGAGAAAGAGACCCAAGAUCGGUUUCAGAUGUGUUGUGUGAGCUAAAGAAAAUUAAAUGAGGUGAUGUGAGAGAGACUUGUGGGGAGGGAAAGAAAGAGGGGGAAGAUUGCCUGAGAGGGCCUCUUCAAAGAAGUAAUGUCUGAGCUGAAUUCUGAGUGAUGGGGAAAGGCGCUAUUCUGAGAUCUGAAGAAAGAGCUCUCAAGGCAGCGGGAACAGCAGAGGCAAAGACCCUGCAGCAGGAGCAGACUUGGCCUUUUGGACCACGAGAAGGCUAGUGCUGUAAGUGGCAGAGAGGUGGAUGGAGAGAGGAGAGAGGAGGGGGAGAUCAGAUGGCCCCCCAAGCUCUGGCGCUUUGUGUGGGUGGGAUGGCUGCCCUUCAUAAGGUUCACCAUCAGGACUUGACAUCCCUGGACCUCUUUCUCUCGCUCCCACUAGUGUCCCCAAAUACGACUUUGGGUUGGCCCCUUGCCUAAACAGACUAAUAAAGGAUUACAGAGAGAAGACUCUUGCCCAACUGUGCCUUAGAAGGAGAUCCAGUGUGGGAGGCUAAAGAAAGACCCUGGGGCCCAGGAGACCAGAGGAACUUCCUGAUCUACAGGGACUGCCUAAGCCCACCCCCACCUCCUCUAGCCCUAGCUCACACCACAUCCCCGCUGACCACUCACCAUCCAGAUCUGCCCUGGACUCUGUCUCUGGGCCUCUGUUUGUGUUGGUCCAACAUCGGCAAUGACCUUGCCCACAUUCCACUUAGAGAAACCCCUCUCAUUUGCCUAGCAUAAAUGAUGCAACUCCGUGUAGCCUUUCCAAACUCCCAAUCACAUUUAAUUUCUGGGUUGGAUUUUUUUUUAAUGUUCCUCUGGUCUCUGUUUGAAGAUCUAUUUGAUCUUUCAUGUCCUUUUGUC